UCUGUAAGCUCUUUUUUUUUACAUUACAGUACAGUGCAUACAGUACAGUACACGAUGAAUUAUGAGAUAUUAUAGGAAAAAGUGAUCUCACAUGCAUUCUCCAGAAGGUGGAGCUCCAGGAACCAUCCUAGUUCAGUCUCAGUUCAGUUAAAACAGAGCAGACAUACACUGAGUCAGUCAUACUCAGAGAGAGAACUGGAAGUCUUGACUAUCAAAGUUAUUGUCUUUCAUUAGUGUAGAUGUUGUCCCUCGUAUUUAUUAUAUUUUCUCUCCUAAAAGAGAAUGCUGGUGAAGAUGUCAUAAAACCUGUCUUGACAGAGAAGCAUGUUUUGGAAGGAAAAGAUGUUACACUGAUCUGCAGCUACACUGUCACUGUUCAGAGUUUACAAUGGUAUCGUCAGUAUCCCGGAUCCAAACCUGAGCACCUCAUUAUGUUCAUUGAGACCAUCCUCAAAUCAGAGCCUGCUCUCCGUCUGACCGCUGCAGCUGAUAAAGCAGCCAAAAGUAUGAAUCUGACCAUCUCUUCUACAGAAGUGAAAGACUCUGCCGUGUACUAUUGUGCCCUGCAGCCCACAGUGACAGGAAACACAACUGCACUGUACAAAAACAGAGUGAGAAAGGAUAUUUAA